rnacentral:rRNA from 1 species
AACGAACGCUGGCGGCAGGCUUAACACAUGCAAGUCGAACGCUCGUAGCAAUACGGGAGUGGCGGACGGGUGAGUAACGCGUGGGAACGUGCCCUGAGGUACGGAAUAACUGAGGGAAACUUCAGCUAAUACCGUAUGAGCCCCGAGAGGGGGAAAGAUUUAUCGCCUUGGGAGCGGCCCGCGUCGGAUUAGCUAGUUGGUGGGGUAACGGCCUACCAAGGCUUCGAUCCGUAGCUGGUCUGAGAGGACGAUCAGCCACACUGGGACUGAGACACGGCCCAGACUCCUACGGGAGGCAGCAGUGGGGAAUCUUGCGCAAUGGGGGCAACCCUGACGCAGCAUGCCGCGUGAACGAUGAAGGCCUUAGGGUUGUAAAGUUCUUUUACCCGUGACGAUGAUGACGGUAACGGGGAAUAAGCUCCGGCUAACUUCGUGCCAGCAGCCGCGGUAAUGUCUGUACU